rnacentral:tRNA from 2 species
GAUAGUGUGGCCGAGGGGUCUAUGGCGCUGGUUUUAGGCACCAGUCUCUUCGGAGGCAAGGGUUCGAAUCCCUUCACUGUCA